GGUGGCAGAGAACAACAGAGAAAGGGGAGUCCUGAGAGAGAGCAAGCUCAUUCACUCCAACCACAACUGAGAAAACCACACGCACCUCGGACCACAGACUAGAGGAAGACCUGUCUCCUUUCUUUUUUCCUGUGGGAUAAUGGCUCCUAUGAAAUAUGCAGGUAUUCUGCACUUCCUCCUAUUGGGACUACUUUUGUCGUCAGCAUUAGUAGCAGGACAACCUAGCACUACCUCCACGCCUACUACUACUACUACCACAGCCGCCCCUACUA